rnacentral:rRNA from 1 species
UACGAAGGGGGCUAGCGUUGUUCGGAUUUACUGGGCGUAAAGCGCACGUAGGCGGAUCGUUAAGUCGGGGGUGAAAUCCUGGAGCUCAACUCCAGAACUGCCUUCGAUACUGGCGAUCUUGAGUCCGGAAGAGGUGAGUGGAACUCCUAGUGUAGAGGUGGAAUUCGUAGAUAUUAGGAAGAACACCAGUGGCGAAGGGCGCUCACUGGUCCGGUACUGACGCUGAGGUGCGAAAGCGUGGGGAGCAAACAGGGAGUUAAGAAA